GACCGGAAGGACUCGUGGAGCGCUUAGAAGUGAGAAUGCCGGUGUGAGUAGCGAAAACAGAGGUGAGAAUCCUCUGCACCGAAAGCCUAAGGUUUCCUGAGGAAGGUUCGUCCGCUCAGGGUUAGUCGGGACCUAAGCCGAGGCCGAAAGGCGUAGGUGAUGGGCAACAGGUUGAGAUUCCUGUACCACCUCCUCACCGUUUGAGCAAUGGGGGGACGCAGGAAGGUAGGGCGAGCAGGCUGCUGGAAUAGCCUGUCCAAGCGGUUAGGCUGCCAGAUAGGCAAAUCCGUCUGGCGCAAAGGCUGAGCCGUGAUGGCGAAGGGACCAUCGGUCCCGAAGUCCCCGAUCCUACACUGCCAAGAAAAGCCUCUAGCGAGGUGAGAGGUGCCCGUACCGCAAACCGACACAGGUAGGCGAGGAGAGAAUCCUAAGGUGCGCGGGAGAACUCUCGUUAAGGAACUCGGCAAAAUGACCCCGUAACUUCGGGAGAAGGGGUGCUCUCUUGGGUGAUGAGCCCGAGAGAGCCGCAGUGAAAAGGCCCAAGCGACUGUUUACCAAAAACACAGGUCUCUGCGAAGCCGAAAGGCGAAGUAUAGGGGCUGACACCUGCCCGGUGCUGGAAGGUUAAGGGGAGCGCUUAAGCCGCAAGGCUGAAGGUGCGAACCGAAGCCCCAGUAAACGGCGGCCGUAACUAUAACGGUCCUAAGGUAGCGAAAUUCCUUGUCGGGUAAGUUCCGACCCGCACGAAAGGUGUAACGACUUGGGCACUGUCUCAACGAGAGACCCGGUGAAAUCAUACUACCUGUGAAGAUGCAGGUUACCCGCGACAGGACGGAAAGACCCCGUGGAGCUUUACUGCAGCCUGAUAUGGAAUUUUGGUAUCGCUUGUACAGGAUAGGUGGGAGCCUGAGAAGCCGGAGCGCCAGCUUCGGUGGAGGCGCCGGUGGGAUACCACCCUGGCGGUAUUGAAAUUCUAACCCGCACCCCUUAUCGGGGUGGGAGACAGUGUCAGGUGGGCAGUUUGACUGGGGCGGUCGCCUCCCAAAAGGUAACGGAGGCGCCCAAAGGUUCCCUCAGAAUGGUUGGAAAUCAUUCGUAGAGUGCAAAGGCACAAGGGAGCUUGACUGCGAGACGGACAGGUCGAGCAGGGACGAAAGUCGGGCUUAGUGAUCCGGUGGUUCCGUAUGGAAGGGCCAUCGCUCAACGGAUAAAAGCUACCCCGGGGAUAACAGGCUGAUCUCCCCCAAGAGUCCACAUCGACGGGGAGGUUUGGCACCUCGAUGUCGGCUCAUCGCAUCCUGGGGCUGUAGUCGGUCCCAAGGGUUGGGCUGUUCGCCCAUUAAAGCGGUACGCGAGCUGGGUUCAGAACGUCGUGAGACAGUUCGGUCCCUAUCCGUCGCGGGCGCAGGAAAUUUGAGAGGAGCUGUCCUUAGUACGAGAGGACCGGGAUGGACGCACCGCUGGUGUACCAGUUGUCCCGCCAGGGGCACCGCUGGGUAGCUAUGUGCGGAAGGGAUAAGCGCUGAAAGCAUCUAAGCGUGAAGCCCCCCUCAAGAUGAGAUUUCCCAUCGCGUCAAGCGAGUAAGAUCCCUCGAAGAUGACGAGGUCGAUAGGUCCGAGGUGGAAGCGUGGCGACACGUGGAGCUGACGGAUACUAAUCGAUCGAGGACUUAACCAA
rnacentral:rRNA from 1 species